AUUUAUGUUGAACAGUGAGGGAAUGGAGCAGACAAUGUAAGAAAAUAACAGUACCUCCUCCGCAAAGACCGUCUUGGGAGGGGCAUUGACGGAGACAUGAAUUGAUUUUAUCUUCAAUGGUAUAAGGACUAGCAAUGGAAGCUAUUGACAGCAAAAAUGAUGAACUAUACAUAUUGUGAUUGAUAUUGGUGUGGCCGUGUAGGACAGCUUCUAAAUGAAGGACCCAGCAUAAUAGUUGCGAAGAACUAUCUGGGCGUCCCAAGCUGGAAAAGUUGACUGCUACUUGUGCUGAUAUUAUUCACAUAUCUCGUUGUCGAGUACUGAGUCCAUCGACACUGCUGCCACCUAAUUCUGUUGCCUGCCUUUCAUUUAAACCAUCUUUGACAUUGUUUGGAUGUGAAUUCUCUGGGUCCUUUCCAGCUUUGCGAUCCCCUUUAAAGUUAGCAUCUUCGGCUUCAAGCAUAUGAAUAAUAUGUCCCAUUUUUGGCCGUUUCUGAGCAUUUGGGUCCACGCAGCGUAAUGCAACAAGUAGAGCCCGCUUUAAUGCUCUUGAAGUAGGCUUUUCAGAAAGCUUUGGAUCCAAUACGCCCUCUGGAUUUUGGUUAGUGACCAUUCUCUUGAGCCAAUCGAUCAAGUUCACCUCAUCUGGAGGACGACUAUACUCAACGGGAUUACGUCCUGAGAUUAUUUCCAUAACAAGUAUUCCAAAACUAUACACAUCACUUCUUUCAUUUAGCAUUCCCGUACUUGCAUAUUCUGGUGCUACAUAGCCAAAUGUCCCCAUUACUCGUGUUGUAAUAUAACUAUUAUCAGAGCAUAGUAGC
rnacentral:misc_RNA from 1 species